rnacentral:rRNA from 1 species
CCUACGGGCGGCAGCAGUAGGGAAUAUUGCACAAUGGGCGCAAGCCUGAUGCAGCCAUGCCGCGUGUGUGAAGAAGGCCUUCGGGUUGUAAAGCACUUUCAGCGGGGAGGAAGGCGGUGAGGUUAAUAACCUCAUCGAUUGACGUUACCCGCAGAAGAAGCACCGGCUAACUCCGUGCCAGCAGCCGCGGUAAUACGGAGGGUGCAAGCGUUAAUCGGAAUUACUGGGCGUAAAGCGCACGCAGGCGGUCUGUCAAGUCGGAUGUGAAAUCCCCGGGCUCAACCUGGGAACUGCAUUCGAAACUGGCAGGCUAGAGUCUUGUAGAGGGGGGUAGAAUUCCAGGUGUAGCGGUGAAAUGCGUAGAGAUCUGGAGGAAUACCGGUGGCGAAGGCGGCCCCCUGGACAAAGACUGACGCUCAGGUGCGAAAGCGUGGGGAGCAAACAGGAUUAGAUACCCGUGUAGUC